GUGAACAAUUGUCUGAUCCUGAACUUGACGAAAUUCAAGUACGUCUUGGUGAUAUCAACCAUAUCGAAUCACAUAAGCUCCACGUCAAACAGAUUAACAAAUUUAAACGUGAUGGUGUGCAAAUUAACCACCCUUUAAUCAGACCCUCUAAAAAAUCAAAUAAAAAGCCUCGAAAUCGUAGAUUUAAAAGAAAAAUUCGAGUUCCG
rnacentral:lncRNA from 1 species